rnacentral:rRNA from 1 species
GGAAUAUUGGACAAUGGGCGCAAGCCUGAUCCAGCCAUGCCGCGUGAGUGAUGAAGGCCUUAGGGUUGUAAAGCUCUUUCACCGAUGAAGAUAAUGACGGUAGUCGGAGAAGAAGCCCCGGCUACCUUCGUGCCAGCAGCCGCGGUAAUACGAAGGGGGCUAGCGUUGUUCGGAAUUACUGGGCGUAAAGCGCACGUAGGCGGAUCGGUCAGUUAGGGGUGAAAUCCCAGGGCUCAACCCUGGAACUGCCUUUAAUACUGCCGGUCUUGAGUUCGAGAGAGGUGAGUGGAAUUCCGAGUGUAGAGGUGAAAUUCGUAGAUAUUCGGAGGAACACCAGUGGCGAAGGCGGCUCACUGGCUCGAUACUGACGCUGAGGUGCGAAAGCGUGGGGAGCAAACA